GUCGAGGAUCUUUUGCAAUGCGCGAAAGCGUGACAAAGCGACGCUGUGUGGGGGAUGAAGGCCUUCGGGUUGUAAACCCCUGUCGUCCGGGAAAAACGGCUUCGUGGUGAUAAUCCACGGAGCGUGAUGGUACCGGAGGAGGAAGCGAUUGCCAACUCUGUGCCAGCAGCAGCGGUAAGACAGAGAUCGCGAGCGUUGUUCGGAUUUACUGGGCGUAAAGGGCGCGUAGGCGGUUCCGUAUGUCGGGUGUGAAAUCCCACCGCUCAACGGUGGAACUGCAUUCGAAACUGCGGAGCUGGAGUGCAGGAGGGGAGAGCGGAAUUCUCGGUGUAGCGGUGAAAUGUGUUGAUAUCGAGAAGAACACCGGUGGCGAAGGCGGCUCUCUGGAAUGCAACUGACGCUGAGGCGCGAAAGCUGGGGGAGCAAACAGGAUUAGAAACCCGAGUAGUCC
rnacentral:rRNA from 1 species